UACGGGGGGGGGCAAGCGUUUGUUCGGAAUUACUGGGCGUAAAGGGCUCGUAGGCGGCCAACUAAGUCAGACGUGAAAUCCCUCGGCUUAACCGGGGAACUGCAUCUGAUACUGGAUGGCUUGAGUUCGGGAGAGGGAUGCGGAAUUCCAGGUGUAGCGGUGAAAUGCGUAGAUAUCUGGAGGAACACCGGUGGCGAAGGCGGAUCUCUGGGCCAUUACUGACGCUGAGGAGCGAAAGCGUGGGGGAGCGAACAGG
rnacentral:rRNA from 1 species